rnacentral:rRNA from 1 species
GGAGCGGCCGAUGUCUGAUUAGCUAGUUGGUGAGGUAAUGGCUCACCAAGGCAACGAUCAGUAGUUGGUCUGAGAGGACGACCAGCCACACUGGGACUGAGACACGGCCCAGACUCCUACGGGAGGCAGCAGUGGGGAAUUUUGGACAAUGGGCGCAAGCCUGAUCCAGCCAUGCCGCGUGAGUGAAGAAGGCCUUCGGGUUGUAAAGCUCUUUCAGUCGAGAAGAAAAGAUUGUGACUAAUAAUUGUAAUUCAUGACGGUAUCGACAGAAGAAGCACCGGCUAACUACGUGCCAGCAGCCGCGGUAAUACGUAGGGUGCGAGCGUUAAUCGGAAUUACUGGGCGUAAAGGGUGCGCAGGCGGUUUUGUAAGUCAGAUGUGAAAUCCCCGGGCUUAACCUGGGAAU